AACGAACGCUGGCGGCAUGCCUAACACAUGCAAGUCGAACGAGACCUUCGGGCCUCGUGGCGCACGUGUGCGUAACGCGUGGGAACCUGCCCUUAAGUUCGGCAUAACUCCCCGAAAGGGGUGCUAAUCCCGGAUAAUCUCUUCGGACCCAAGAUUAAUCGCCUUUGUGUGGGCCCGCGUUGGAUUAGCUAGUUGGUAGGGUAAACGCCUAGCAACGCGAAGUUCCAUAGCUGGUCUGGGAGGAUGCUCAGCCACACUGGCACUGAUACACGGCCCAGACCCGGGAGGGAGGCAGCAGUAGGCAAUACUAGCCAAGGGGCGACAGCCUGAGCCAGCAACGCCGCGUAAGUGCUCAAGGCCCUAGGGUCCCAAAGUCCCCUUACACGGCACGAUAAUGACAGUACCGGGAGAAUAAGCUCCGGCUAACUCCGUG
rnacentral:rRNA from 1 species